GUCUGUCGUUCUGAUCAUAUAUAUAAUACCUAUCGAAAGGCGCUUUAUUCGCAUUCGACAACUUCUUGUAAGCUGUAAACGUCAAAAUGAACAAAUUGUGUUUGACGUUGAUUCUUUUCUGUUGCGCUGCAGUACUGAUUAUGCCGCAGGCUGCUGAAGCAAGGGAUGGACCCGGUCGUCUGCCUCGCCCUAGGCCUAUACGCCCGAUCCCAAUGCCUCGCCCUAGAGGACGUCGUUCCGCAGAGCCGAGACGGACUGGUCAGGAUUAAUACCAUUCAAUGUACGGAAUGAAAGUUAACUAGCAAAGAACGAAAACGCGACAAUAUAAUGUGUGACUCUGCAACGUCAAGAAAACAGCAAAAGGAACAAGCAGAGAGAAAUAGUAUUCAAAUGUAUGAUUCGUGUAACAUGUUGCGUCAGUAAAACAUCAUUUGAUGCA